rnacentral:miRNA from 1 species
AAACCGUUACCAUUAUUGUAACCA